UCAGAUUAUUCUGUUAAGGUAGCUUUACAGUAAUGUAAAUUUAACUCACCUUGUCUUUCCUGUCUGGUUUACCUGGCAAGGCUGACAGGUUUUUUUCCCAUGGCCCUAUCGAAGCUGCGUCUGUCUUAUCUGUGACUGAUGUAGUCAAAAAGGUGCCAAAAAUAAUAUUUUUCUUCGACGGUCGCUGUUUGGUUUGUUCUCCCAUAACUCUUCAGCAACAUUUUGGGGAAAAUACAUAUUUUUCGUAGUGAUGGCAUUUUGUAGCUUGAAUGCAGAGCAGCAUAGACAAAUCAGUUCAGAAUUUAUCUGUAUGUCAGUGAAAAUUGCUGGGGUGACAACGUAGCUAUAUUCCCGUAUUUGGGGGACCGCCACAAAGAAGAGGGGAUCAACUUAUUUCCCAAAGCAUCAGAGGGCAAGACAAGAAACAAUGGAGACUAAUCAAGGAGAGAACCUGCCUAGAACAUUUCCUUACAGAGCAAUUAAUCCAUAGAACUGCUUGUCUUCAGAAGUUCCUUCAGCAGGAAAGAAGAUGAGGUGGAUGGCUGCUUUGGAGCUGGACAUGGUGGUUUAUAGAUGUCUGUCUCAACUUGACGUACGGUCUGGCAGUGCUGGAUGAUUGGAGAAGAAGAUGCCCAUUAUCAUCCUCUGUGAAUUUUGAGGCCAGCAGCUGAAGCCUGCAAGAAGAACAGGACAAUGCAGUGACCUUCCAUCUUUCAUCCCGGAGAAGGUCAUCGGGUGGAGUGGACGGCUCAGCAAACGACAGCAAUGUCUUCAGAUAUUUCCUUGGAAUUUGCUACAGGCAUGUUGAAAAAAAAUGGCUUGCUGUGAAGACGGGGGGGGGGGGGGAGGAGCCUUAGCAAAAAUUUCUGAAAUUUCUUUAAAAGCUGUCUGAUAAUAGUUAGACUCCUGCGAGUCUCUUGGACUGCAAGGC